rnacentral:rRNA from 1 species
UACGUAGGGGGCGAGCGUUGUCCGGAUUUAUUGGACGUAAAGAGCUCGUAGGCGGUUCGAUAAGUCGGAGGUGAAAUCUCCACGCUCAACGUGGAGGGGCCGUUCGAUACUGUCGUGACUCGAGUCCGGUAGGGGAGUGUGGAAUUCCCGGUGUAGCGGUGAAAUGCGCAGAGAUCGGGAGGAACACCCGUAGCGAAGGCGGCACUCUGGGCCGGUACUGACGCUGAGGAGCGAAAGCGUGGGGAGCAAACAGG